GCGCCCGUAGCUCAGAGGAUAGAGCGCUUGCCUCCGGAGCAAGAAGUCGCAGGUUCGAAUCCUGCCGGGCGUA
rnacentral:tRNA from 1 species